ACGAACGCUGGCGGCGUGCUUAACACAUGCAAGUCGAACGAAAAUACCAAGCUUGCUUGGUUGAUUAGUGGCGAACGGGUGAGUAACACGUGAGUAACCUGCCCCUUACUUUCCUGGAUAACUGCUCGAAAGGGUAGCUAAUACGGGAUAUUCUGACCAGCCUGCAUGGGUUGGUUUGGAAAGGUUGUUUUUCUGGUAAGGGAUGGGCUCGCGGCCUAUCAGCUUGUUGGUGGGGUGAUGGCCUACCAAGGCUUUGACGGGUAGCCGGCCUGAGAGGGUGGACGGUCAAACUGGGACUGAGAUACGGCCCAGACUCCUACGGGAGGCAGCAGUGGGGAAUAUUGCACAAUGGGCGCAAGCCUGAUGCAGCGACGCCGCGUGAGGGAUGAGGGCCUUCGGGUUGUAAACCUCUUUCGUCAGGGAACAAGGCACUGCUUUUUUGGUGGUGUUGAGGGUACCUGGAUAAGAAGCGCCGGCUAACUACGUG
rnacentral:rRNA from 1 species